GAACGCUGGCGGCGCGCUUAACACAUGCAAGUCGAGCGAUGAAAUUUCGACAGAACCCUUCGGGGUGAAGACAAAAUGGAUUAGCGGCGGACGGGUGAGUAACACGUGAGUAACCUGCCUUUGACAUUGGGAUAGCCUCGGGAAGCUGGGAUUAAUACCAAAUGACACUAAGAGAUCACAUGAUCAUUUAGUCAAAGAAAUUCGGUCAAAGAUGGACUCGCGGCUGAUUAGCUAGCUGGUGAGGUAACGGCCCACCAAGGCGACGAUCAGUAGCCGGCCUGAGAGGGUGACCGGCCACAUCGGAACUGAGACACGGUCCAAACUCCUACGGGAGGCAGCAGUGGGGAAUAUUGCACAAUGGGGGAAACCCUGAUGCAGCGACGCCGCGUGAGCGAAGAAGGCCUUCGGGUCGUAAAGCUCUUUUAUGAGGGAAGAUAAUGACGGUACCUCAAGAAAAAGCCCCGGCUAACUACGUGCCAGCAGCCGCGGUAA
rnacentral:rRNA from 2 species